GACGAACGCUGGCGGCGUGCUUAACACAUGCAAGUCGAACGGAAAGGCCCAGCUUUUGUGGGGUGUUCGAGUGGCGAACGGGUGAGUAACACGUGAGUAACCUGCCCUUGACUUUGGGAUAACUUCAGGAAACUGGGGAUAAUACCGGCUAGGAGAUCCUGCUGCAUGGUGGGGGUUGGAACGCUUCGUCGGUUGGGGAUGGACUCCCGGCUUAUUAGCUUGUUGGUGGGGUAGUGGCUUACCCAGGCUUUGACGGGUAGUCGGCCUGAGAGGGUGGCCGGCGUCAUUGGGACUGAGGGACGACGCAGACGCGUACAGUAGACAGCAGUGCAGAAUACGACACAAUGAGCGGAAGCCUGAUGCGGCGACGCCGCGUGCGGGAUGACGGCCUUCGUGUUGUAAACCGCUUUCACCUAUGACGAAGCGUGAGUGACGGUAAUGGGUAAAGAAGCACCGGCUAACUACGUG
rnacentral:rRNA from 1 species